rnacentral:rRNA from 1 species
UAGGGAAUCUUCCACAAUGGACGAAAGUCUGAUGGAGCAAUGCCGCGUGAGUGAAGAAGGUUUUUGGAUCGUAAAGCUCUGUUGUAAGGGAAGAACAAGUAUGGGAGUAACUGCCCGUACCUUGACGGUACCUUAUUAGAAAGCCACGGCUAACUACGUGCCAGCAGCCGCGGUAAUACGUAGGUGGCAAGCGUUGUCCGGAAUUAUUGGGCGUAAAGCGCGCGCAGGCGGCCUUUUAAGUCUGAUGUGAAAGCCCCCGGCUCAACCGGGGAAGGUCAUUGGAAACUGAAGGGCUUGAGUACAGAAGAGGAAAGCGGAAUUCCACGUGUAGCGGUGAAAUGCGUAGAGAUGUGGAGGAACACCAGUGGCGAAGGCGGCUUUCUGGUCUGUAACUGACGCUGAGGCGCGAAAGCGUGGGGAGCAAACAGGAUUAGAUACCCUGGUAGUCCACGCCGUAAACGAUGAGUGCUAAGUGUUAGGGGGUUUCCGCCCUUAGUGCUGGAGCAAACGCAUUAAG